rnacentral:rRNA from 1 species
UACAGAGGGUGCGAGCGUUGUUCGGAAUUAUUGGGCGUAAAGCGCAUGUAGGCGGUCUGUUAAGUCGCGUGUGAAAGCUUCCAGCUCAACUGGAAAAGUGCGCGCGAAACUGGUGGACUUGAGUGCUGGAGAGGGUGGCGGAAUUCCCGGUGUAGAGGUGAAAUUCGUAGAUAUGGGGAGGAACACCGGUGGCGAAGGCGGCCACCUGGACGGUCACUGACGCUGAGACGCGAAAGCGUGGGGAGCAAACAGG